UUUCCCCAUCGAAAACUACUGCAGUUUCCCAAUAACGGCCGUGAACUUCGUGUAUCUGGUUGCCUCUGUAUGUUCGAGUUCUUGGAAAAGCCCGUGACAUUGAGACCCUCCGUGCCUGCGCUGGAGGGCUGCAAGUAUAAAUAAGGAGGGAAGGCCUUGUUCUCGACACAGUGCAGGCGAGCUCAGACGCAGUGCAACAGGACCCUCCCAACAUGAAGCUGACAUCAAUGUUCGUGGCCCUCAUGGCGGUGGUGGCGGCGGUGCUGAGCCUGGCCGGCGCCGAGCCCGAGCCUUUCAAGAAACUCAAGGGCUUCAAGAAGAAGGGCGGCUUCAGGCCCCGCCCCGUCAUCCAUCGCCCCGUCUACGUCCGCCCCGUCCACUACGGCGGCUACGGAGGCGGCUACGGAGGCGGCUACGGCCACGGCUGGUAAGACUCGAAUUCCGAGGGCGUCUCCUCCUCCCGGAAUCUGCCGCGGGCCCUGCGGAGAGGCUUCGGGCAGGAGGCGCUUCGGCAAAGACCAAGACCAACUUUAAGAAUCGAUUCACUUUUCUGGGAGUCACUGCACUUUUCCUUUAAUGAUCUUUAUACUAUCUAUACUUCUGUAAAACCAACCAAGUAAAAUUUAUGACUUUC